AGAUCUAACAGGUUACAGAGAUGAAAAUCUAGACACAGGAGCACAUAGAGACCUUGUACAGAAUAUUCAGCCAUCAGAUGUCUCUGCAGGUUACAGUGAUGAAAAUCUAGACACAGGAUCGCAUGCAGACCUUGUACAGAAUAUUCAGCCAUCAGAUAUCUCUGCAAGUGAGUGAUCUAUGGUAUAAGCUUCACAGUUAGAAAACUCUGAUUCUUAAAUUAUUUCACCCUAUAAAAAUGAUGAGCCUCAUUACAGACAGAUUGUAAUAAUAAAAUCUCUGGUUCACAAACA